AAGUCGUAACAAGGUCUCCGUAGGUGAACCGGCGGAGGGAUCAUUACAAGUGACCCCCGGGUCUAACCACCGGGAUGUUCAUAACCCUUUGUUGUCCGACUCUGUUGCCUCCGGGGCGACCCUGCCUUCGGGCGGGGGCUCCGGGUGGACACUUCAAACUCUUGCGUAACUUUGCAGUCUGAGUAAACUUAAUUAAUAAAUUAAAA
rnacentral:misc_RNA from 1 species